GCCGUGGUCCAGUUGAAAGUGCAGUUGGAAGAGAGAGAGCACUGUCCAAGUUGGGGAAUAAAAAGCCAGAGGAAUGGGACAACAUUUGGACGCUGUCAUGUUUGGCCUGAGAACCAAGUAUUCACCUUUUUUUUUUAAUGUUUGGUAGAGAGGCGAGGUACCCCACUCAAAUUCCAGAUGAAUACAGAGUGGACAGCAGUGUGGAGGACGUUUUGUCUGUUGAAGAGACAACAGAGGAAAUUCUGAAGCUUGAUGAAGUGCUUCAGACUGCUUUAUCAAAUAGCAAAACAACACAAGCAAAAUAUCAUAAAAAAACAAAAGGCAGACCUAUUCCAAAUUUUCAAAUGGACAUGAAAGUGUGGAGGCUCAACAUGAGGAGCCAGCAGAGGAAAGUGGACAAGUUAGAUCCAAAUUACCUUGGCCACUAUAUGAUUAUUUGUAACUCUAAACUCUAGUACUUCA